UUGAACGCUGGCGGAAUGCUUUACACAUGCAAGUCGAGCGGCAGCGCGGGGGCAACCCUGGCGGCGAGCGGCGAACGGGUGAGUAACAUAUUGGAACGUACCCUGUCGUGGGGGAUAACACAGCGAAAGCUGUGCUAAUACCGCAUACGACCUGAGGGUGAAAGCGGGGGACCGUAAGGCCUCGCGCGAUUGGAGCGGCCGAUGUUCGAUUAGCUAGUUGGUGGGGUAAAGGCCUACCAAGGCGACGAUCGAUAGCUGGUCUGAGAGGACGACCAGCCACACGGGAACUGAGACACGGUCCAGACUCCUACGGGAGGCAGCAGUGGGGAAUUUUGGACAAUGGGGGCAACCCUGAUCCAGCCAUUCCGCGUGAGUGAAGAAGGCCUUCGGGUUGUAAAGCUCUUUCAGCCGGAACGAAACGGUACGCUCUAACAUAGCGUGCUAAUGACGGUACCGGCAGAAGAAGCACCGGCUAACUACGU
rnacentral:rRNA from 1 species